UACAGAGGGUGCGAGCGUUGUUCGGAAUUACUGGGCGUAAAGCGCGCGCAGGCGGCCUUUUAAGUCUACCCGUGAAAUGCCGGAGCUCAACUCCGUGCACGCCGGGGGAUACUGGGAGGCUGGAGACAGGUAGAGGCAAGCGGAAUUCCGGGUGUAGCGGUGGAAUGCGCAGAUAUCAGGAAGAACACCCGUGGCGAAGGCGGUUCUCUGGGACGGUACUGACGCUGAGACGCGAAAGCGUGGGGAGCGAACAGG
rnacentral:rRNA from 1 species